AAUCAAAAUGUUAGUGAUAUUGAUUAUAUUUGCAUUUAUUAAAUUAUAUAAAAGAUGCUAAACCCUCACCAACUGAUUUAAUGGUUUGAUGUCAGAUUAACUUGAGUCAAGACUUUAAAUUUUAAAUGAUUCCCUGCAGUAUGCCGGUUAAAAAGAAAAACUGAAGAAACUUUAAAACUAGAUGAUGCCAACUAAAAAGUUGAAACACCAUUAUUCAUGGUGUCAUAUCGAGGCUUCAGUUCUCCAGUAUUUAUAUUUUAUUAUAUAUGUUAUGUUUAUUUUUUA